UCAAAAAUAAUUUUAAUUAACAAAGACUAAAACAAUGUCUUAUUCUACAUUUUCCAAAAAAGGUGAAAUGUCAAUUUUGAAAGAAACCCAAGUUACCUGUACAGGUAAAUUUUUAAGAAACAUACAAGUUGAAAACUUCAACCCUGAUUGAUUACAACAGGUAACCUUAUUAGAUAAAACAUCAACCUAUGUUUUAUGACCCCAAUAAAUGGCCAACAUCUCAAGAUUGAAUACCCCAAUAAAUGGCCACCAUUGGAUGUUGACCAUGCAAGAGGGUGGACAUAAUUAAGAGGAUGUCACAGGCU
rnacentral:lncRNA from 1 species